AUCCUGCCAGUAAUUAUAUGCUUGUCUCAAAGAUUAAGCCAUGCAUGUCUCAGUACAAGCCAAAUUAAGGUGAAACCGCGAAAGGCUCAUUAAAUCAGUUAUGGUUCAUUAGAUCGUACACAUUUACUUGGAUAACUGUGGUAAUUCUAGAGCUAAUACAUGCAAACAGAGCCCCAACCGGAAACGGAAGGGGUGCUUUUAUUAGAUCAAAACCAAUCGGCGGCGCGUUCACGCGCGUCGUCGUCGUAUGUGGUGACUCUGAAUAACUUUUUGCUGAUCGCACGGUCUCGCACCGGCGACGCAUCUUUCAAAUGUCUGCCUUAUCAACUGUCGAUGGUAGGAUCUGCGCCUACCAUGGUUGUAACGGGUAACGGGGAAUCAGGGUUCGAUUCCGGAGAGGGAGCCUGAGAAACGGCUACCACAUCCAAGGAAGGCAGCAGGCGCGCAAAUUACCCACUCCCGGCACGGGGAGGUAGUGACGAAAAAUAACGAUACGGGACUCAUCCGAGGCCCCGUAAUCGGAAUGAGUACAGUCUAAACCUCUUAACGAGGAUCAAUCGGAGGGCAAGUCUGGUGCCAGCAGCCGCGGUAAUUCCAGCUCCGAUAGCGUAUAU
rnacentral:rRNA from 1 species